AGUGAACGCUGGCGGUAGGCCUAACACAUGCAAGUCGAACGGCAGCACAGUAAGAGCUUGCUCUUACGGGUGGCGAGUGGCGGACGGGUGAGGAAUACAUCGGAAUCUACUUUUUCGGGGGGGAUAACGUAGGGAAACUUACGCUAAUACCGAAUACGACCUACGGGUGAAAGCAGGGGAUCUUCGGACCUUGCGCGAUUGAAUGAGCCGAUGUCGGAUUAGAUAGUUGGCGGGGUAAAGGACCACCAAGGCGACGAUCCGUAGCUGGUCUGAGAGGAUGAUCAGCCACACUGGAACUGAGACACGGUCCAGACUCCUACGGGAGGCAGCAGUGGGGAAUAUUGGACAAUGGGCGCAAGCCUGAUCCAGCCAUACCGCGUGGGUGAAGAAGGCCUUCGGGUUGUAAAGCCCUUUUGUUGGGAAAGAAAAGCAGCAGGUUAAUACCCCGCUGUUCUGACGGUACCCAAAGAAUAAGCACCGGCUAACUUCGUG
rnacentral:rRNA from 1 species